rnacentral:rRNA from 1 species
GAUUAACGCGAAGAACCUUACCUGGGCUUGAAGUGCACCGGACCAUCCUUGGAAACAGGGACUUCCCGCAAGGGACUGGUGUAGAGGUGCUGCAUGGCUGUCGUCAGCUCGUGCCGUGAGGUGUUGGGUUAAGUCCCGCAACGAGCGCAACCCUUACUCGUAGUUGCCACCCGCAAGGGGGAACUCUACGAGGACUGCUCCGGAUAACGGAGAGGAAGGUGGGGAUGAGGUCAAGUCAGCAUGGCCUUUAUGUCCAGGGCUACACACGUGUUACAAUGCGCGCUACAAAGCGUCGCGAACCCGCGAGGGGGAGCUAAUCGCAAAAAAGCGCGCUCAGUUCGGAUUGCAGUCUGCAACUCGACUGCAUGAAGCCGGAAUCGCUAGUAAUGGCGCAUCAGAACGGCGCCGUGAAUACGUUCCCGGGCCUUGUACACACCGAAUC